rnacentral:rRNA from 1 species
CCGUAACUGACGCUGAGGAGCGAAGGCAUGGGGAGCGAACAGGAUUAGAUACCCUGGUAGUCCAUGCCGUAAACGUUGGGAACUAGAUGUAGGGGCCAUUCCACGGCUUCUGUGUCGCAGCUAACGCAUUAAGUUCCCCGCCUGGGGAGUACGGCCGCAAGGCUAAAACUCAAAGGAAUUGACGGGGGCCCGCACAAGCGGCGGAGCAUGCGGAUUAAUUCGAUGCAACGCGAAGAACCUUACCAUGGCUUGACAUAUACCGGAAAAGUUCAGAAAUGUUCUCCCCGCAAGGUCGGUAUACAGGUGGUGCAUGGUUGUCGUCAGCUCGUGUCGUGAGAUGUUGGGUUAAGUCCCGCAACGAGCGCAACCCUCGUUCUAUGUUGCCAGCACGUAAUGGUGGGAACUCAUAGGAGACUGCCGGGGUCAACUCGGAGGAAGGUGGGGAUGACGUCAAAUCAUCAUGCCCCUUAUGUCUUGGGCUUCACGCAUGCUACAAUGGCCGAUACAAAGGGCUGCAAUACCGCAAGGUGGAGCGAAUCCCAAAAAGUCGGUCUCAGUUCGGAUUGAGGUCUGCAACUCGACCUCAUGAAGUCGGAGUCGCUAGUAAUCGCAGAUCAGCAACGCUGCGGUGAAUACGUUCCCGGGCCUUGUACACACCGCCCGUCAAGUCAUGAAAGUCGUAACACCCGAAGCCAGUGGCCCAACCG